rnacentral:rRNA from 1 species
AGUGAACGCUGGCGGUAGGCCUAACACAUGCCAGUCGAACGGCAGCACAGUAAGAGCUUGCUCUUACGGGUGGCGAGUGGCGGACGGGUGAGGAAUACAUCGGAAUCUACUUUUUCGUGGGGGAUAACGUAGGGAAACUUACGCUAAUACCGCAUACGACCUACGGGUGAAAGCAGGGGAUCCUCGGACCUUGCGCGAUUGAAUGAGCCGAUGUCGGAUUAGCUAGUUGGCGGGGUAAAGGCCCACCAAGGCGACGAUCCGUAGCUGGUCUGAGAGGAUGAUCAGCCACACUGGAACUGAGACACGGUCCAGACUCCUACGGGAGGCAGCAGUGGGGAAUAUUGGACAAUGGGCGCAAGCCUGAUCCAGCCAUACCGCGUGGGUGAAGAAGGCCUUCGGGUUGUAAAGCCCUUUUGUUGGGAAAGAAAAGCAGCAGGUUAAUACCCCGCUGUUCUGACGGUACCCAAAGAAUAAGCACCGGCUAACUUCGUG